UCGUUUGGUGUCAUUCACGGAGGAGAGUGUUACGAGGAGGACUAGCAGAGUAUCAACAUGAGUGGUGCGGGCGAGAGCGCGUGUAGUUCGCGGGGCGAGCCGCUGGCGCUGGGCGAGGCGUGCACCGACCUCACAAUGUCGACGGGCAAUGUCAUCUCGAUGCGCGGGGUGCGCCGCCGCGCCGGGCAGGGUACCACAGAGGAGUUAAUGUCUUCACUGGAUCAUAUGCUUGACAUCAUCCGCCCGGCGAAGGGCGAACUGGACCGGCCGUCAGUCGUGAUGGCAGUGCCGUGCGCGUGCUACAGCGUCAGUCUGGGUGAGGAGGAGCGGGAGCCGCUGAGCAUCACCGUCAAACUGUUCCCGGUCGGGCUGGACACCGACGCCGUCCGACAGGCCGUCGAGCGAGCUCUGACGGAGCUGUCGGUGAAGCAGGUGGAGGCGAUCGUGCUGUCCAACCCGCUGCCCUGGGAGGAGAUGACGCUGGAGCAGCUGCUGCCCCUCUGGCGGGUGCUGGAACAGUUCCACGCGCAGCAGAAGGUGGCCUACCUGGGCCUGGCGGACGUGGAGCAGUCACUGUUCGAGGCCAUCUGCCAGUGUGAUCAGGUGGAGGUGAAGCCGUCCCUGCUCCAGAUCAACCUCACCAACUGCUGCUCGGUGCCGGACGACCUGCGCGACUUCUGCCGGCAGCGGGACGUCCAGAUCCUGACACACAACGACGCACAAGAGGUGCUGCCGGGCGCCGUGCUCCGGCCGCUGCUCUCCAAACACCUGGCCUUGGCCGAGCCGCAGCGCUGGUCGCUCGUCUGGUCCCUGCGCUACCUCGUCAUGGUACAACACAAGGGCGUCAUCAAGAACAAGGGCUACAUCGUGCACGUGACGCGCUCCUAGGCUCGUCCCCCGGCGCGGCGCGGCGGCUAGGCUGAUUAUCACUGGCUCGACAGGUAAUGUGACACAGAAAUGCCAUCAGCCGAGCGCGUCAGACGGACGGACGGCCAGACGGACGGGCGGGCGGACGGGUAGGCAUUGGGGACGCGCCGGUCUAGCUGCCAGUAACGCGCUCGUGGUGCCUUCACUUCACUCUGGCUAUCUGUAGGCAGGACGUGUUUGUUGUGUUUCUGCACAUUCCCCGCUGUGAGGAGUACGACUCUAUACGCCUGUCGGGGCCAGGGAGUAAAGAGCUUAGAAAAUAAAGUACUUAGUAAUAUUCAGGUCCUAGGAUAUGACGUGAUUUUAUACCUUGGGUGGGAUUAGAUGCGAUGUAGCAAGUAAUGCGGAAAUCUAUACGGGAAUAAUACUUAACAUAUACAUUUAUAUUCAUCGCUAAAAAUCACUUUUCGUGCAUUUCCCCUUCAAUAUCUUAGAGAUGGUAGUUUCAUCACAGUUUCUGAGGGACUUGUUCAUUAAAGUAUUAUCACUAAUAAGAGGGUAAGAGAUUUGCGAUGGUACCUUCCUAGAAAACCAACUAAUCACGACGCGGCCAUUUAUAGACGCUAGUGGCAUUAAUGAAGGUGUGCUAUUAUUGUACCUACGUGUGGCGGUAGACGGGACUGCUGCUGGCUUGUGCAGUAGUGCCCCAUUUUUGUCCUAUUCAGCUGAGUUGAUUUAUAAAACUAACUGGGAAACAUUCAUGUAUUGUGCAAUAUAGACCAGAUGUGCUUAUUUUAAGUGCAAUAUUAUUUGUGUUUGUGGUAGGGAAAUGCUCUGUUCUCAUUUUUCGUUAGUAAUGAGUUCGCACUGCCGACGCCAGUUCGCAAUCAGGUAAUGUGAAUGUGGGAAAUAAAUGAACUCAGGCUCC
rnacentral:misc_RNA from 1 species